rnacentral:rRNA from 1 species
UACGUAGGCAGCGAGCGUUGUUCGGAGUUACUGGGCGUAAAGGGUGCGCAGGCGGUGGAGCAAGUCUGAUGUGAAAUCUCCCGGCUUAACCGGGAGGGUGCGUUAGAAACUGUUCUGCUGGAGUGAGGGAGAGGCAAGCGGAAUUCCUGGUGUAGCGGUGAAAUGCGUAGAUAUCAGGAGGAACACCCGUGGUGCAGACGGCUUGCUGGACCUCCACUGACGCUGAAGCGCGAAAGCCAGGGGAGCGAACGGG